CUCUAGCCUCGAUAGCAGUGGAAAUCCUAUUGUGCCGGGGUUCGGCACAAAAGAUUGAAACGUAUAGCGGGAAUAGCU
rnacentral:sRNA from 1 species